rnacentral:rRNA from 1 species
UAUUGUGACCAGACCACCCUAUAUUACCCGAUCUUGGUCGAGCUGAGAAGCUACGGAGGGUCAAGCCAGGUUCGUACAUGGAUGGAAGACCACCAGGGAUUUCCAGGUGUUGUAGACG